GCAGGGCAAGGUGACCCAUGCCUGCAAUCCCAGCUACUUUGGAGGCUGAGGCAAGAGGAUCCCCAGUUCAAGAGCAACCUGGGACCAACCUGGGCAACUUUAGGUGAGACCCUGUCUCAA
rnacentral:sRNA from 1 species